ACGAACGCUGGCGGCGUGCCUAACACAUGCAAGUCGAACGGAACUUCUUUAAAAGAUUUCUUCGGAAUGAAUUUGAUUAAGUUUAGUGGCGGACGGGUGAGUAACGCGUGAGUAACCUGCCUCUGAGAGGGGAAUAACAUUCUGAAAAGAAUGCUAAUACCGCAUAAUAUAUAUUUAUCGCAUGGUAGAUAUAUCAAAGAUUUAUCGCUUAGAGAUGGACUCGCGUCCGAUUAGUUAGUUGGUGAGGUAACGGCUCACCAAGACCGCGAUCGGUAGCCGGACUGAGAGGUUGAACGGCCACAUUGGGACUGAGACACGGCCCAGACUCCUACGGGAGGCAGCAGUGGGGGAUAUUGCGCAAUGGGGGAAACCCUGACGCAGCAACGCCGCGUGAAGGAUGAAGGUCUUCGGAUUGUAAACUUCUUUUAUUAAGGACGAAGAAAGUGACGGUACUUAAUGAAUAAGCUCCGGCUAACUACGUGCCAGCAGCCGCGGUAAUACGUAGGGAGCAAGCGUUGUCCGGAUUUACUGGGUGUAAAGGGUGCGUAGGCGGCUUUGCAAGUCAGAUGUGAAAUCUAUGGGCUCAACCCAUAGCCUGCAUUUGAAACUGCAGAGCUUGAGUGAAGUAGAGGCAGGCGGAAUUCCCCGUGUAGCGGUGAAAUGCGUAGAGAUGGGGAGGAACACCAGUGGCGAAGGCGGCCUGCUGGGCUUUAACUGACGCUGAGGCACGAAAGCGUGGGUAGCAAACAGGAUUAGAUACCCUGGUAGUCCACACAGUAAACGAUGAAUACUCGCUGUUUGCGAUAUACGGUAAGCGGCCAAGCGAAAGCGUUAAGUAUCCCACCUGGGGAGUACGCCGGCAACGGUGAAACUCAAAGGAAUUGACGGGGGCCCGCACAAGCAGUGGAGUAUGUGGUUUAAUUCGAAGCAACGCGAAGAACCUUACCAGGUCUUGACAUCCUACUAACGAGAUAGAGAUAUGUUAGGUGCCCUUCGGGGAAAGUAGAGACAGGUGGUGCAUGGUUGUCGUCAGCUCGUGUCGUGAGAUGUUGGGUUAAGUCCCGCAACGAGCGCAACCCUUGCUAUUAGUUGCUACGCAAGAGCACUCUAAUAGGACUGCCGUUGACAAAACGGAGGAAGGUGGGGACGACGUCAAAUCAUCAUGCCCCUUAUGACCUGGGCUACACACGUACUACAAUGGACAUAAACAGAGGGAAGCAAAACAGCGAUGUGGAGCAAACCCCUAAAAAUGUUCUCAGUUCAGAUUGCAGGCUGCAACCCGCCUGUAUGAAGAUGGAAUUGCUAGUAAUCGCAGAUCAGCAUGCUGCGGUGAAUACGUUCCCGGGCCUUGUACACACCGCCCGUCACACCAUGAGAGCCGGGGGGACCCGAAGUCGGUAGUCUAACCGCAAGGAGGACGCCGCCGAAGGUAAAACUGGUGAUUGGGGUG
rnacentral:rRNA from 1 species